rnacentral:rRNA from 1 species
UGGUAUAACUCCGUAAAUUUUCCGUAAGGGUGACCUGCGGAGGGAUCAUUACCGAGUUAUACAACUCAUCAACCCUGUGAACAUACCUAUAACGUUGCCUCGGCGGGAACAGACGGCCCCGUAACACGGGCCGCCCCCGCCAGAGGACCCCCUAACUCUGUUUCUAUAAUGUUUCUUCUGAGUAAACAAGCAAAUAAAUUAAAACUUUCAACAACGGAUCUCUUGGCUCUGGCAUCGAUGAAGAACGCAGCGAAAUGCGAUAAGUAAUGUGAAUUGCAGAAUUCAGUGAAUCAUCGAAUCUUUGAACGCACAUUGCGCCCGCCAGUAUUCUGGCGGGCAUGCCUGUUCGAGCGUCAUUACAACCCUCAGGCCCCCGGGCCUGGCGUUGGGGAUCGGCGGAAGCCCCCUGCGGGCACAACGCCGUCCCCCAAAUACAGUGGCGGUCCCGCCGCAGCUUCCAUUGCGUAGUAGCUAACACCUCGCAACUGGAGAGCGGCGCGGCCACGCCGUAAAACACCCAACUUCUGAAUGUUGACCUCGAAUCAGGUAGGAAUACCCGCUGAACUUAAGCAUAUCUAAAGCCGGGAAGGAAAACAACUACCGAGAAUAU